GAUCGGGUGCGUAGCCGACUAUCCGGUUGAACUAAGAGUACAAGCUUUGGAAUUUGUUAACCUAUCUCCAAGAACUCCUCCUACUCCAUCUUACCAUAGGCGGAUGGCCGGUCUCACAUCACCUACAGCCAGUCUCGCAUCACCUACAGCUGAACCCACCACAUCGGACAUCUCUAAUGGCGAUGUGGCUUCUCACAACUAAAUUUCUUUCUAAUGCUUUUUACCUAGUGGAUACUUAAGAGUGAAUGUAAAUAGCUAGUUUGUCAU
rnacentral:lncRNA from 1 species